rnacentral:rRNA from 1 species
UUCCCAGACUCCUACGGGAGGCAGCAGUGGGGAAUAUUGGGCAAUGGGCGAAAGCCUGACCCAGCAAUGCCGCGUGAAUGAAGAAGGUCUUAGGAUUGUAAAAUUCUGUCCUAUGGGAAGAAACAAAUGACGGUACCAUAGGAGGAAGCCCCGGCUAACUACGUGCCAGCAGCCGCGGUAAUACGUAGGUGGCAAGCGUUAUCCGGAUUUAUUGGGUGUAAAGGGCGUGUAGGCGGGAAAGCAAGUCAGAUGUGAAAACUCAGGGCUCAACCCUGAGCCUGCAUUUGAAACUGUUUUUCUUGAGUGCUGGAGAGGCAAUCGGAAUUCCGUGUGUAGCGGUGAAAUGCGUAGAUAUACGGAGGAACACCAGUGGCGAAGGCGGAUUGCUGGACAGUAACUGACGCUGAGGCGCGAAAGCGUGGGGAGCAAACAGGAUUAGAUACCCGGGUA